rnacentral:rRNA from 3 species
CUGGCCUCAAGUCGGGCGA